rnacentral:tRNA from 1 species
GGGGGUGUAGUUCAGUAGUAGAGCACUUGCCUAGCAUGCAUGAGGCCCUGGGUUCAAUCCCCAGCACCAUUA